GAAGCACCUGGAAGCAGGAAGAGCAACUUUGCAGAGUCCCACUGAUGGGAUUUUGGACUGCAAAUCCCAGAAACCUUGGGGGCAACAGGAAGAGAAACUGAACACAUAAUCCAUGCUGGUCUAGGGCCGCCUCCCCCCACCCCGGCUUCUGGCCUGAGCCACUGCAGGCAUGUGGCUACAUUUCCUGAAUCAAAGUUGUCUUCACUACAAGCCCCACCUGCUUGAUCCCACUCCACACUUGCUGAGUGAAGAAAGAACUCAUCUGAAGUAUGUGUUAAAAUGUUCUCAGGAUCACCUGAAACUCAGAUCCUGAAAGAAACCAAAAAGCAGCCAGAUGACAUUUUCCCAUAAACAGCAUAUACAAGGUGGAAAGUAAGGCAAGUAGAAGAUGGAGGGUCAAAACAUCCCUGGUGUAACUUCUCUGAAGAGUUCCAUUCUUCCAAGUAAGAGAGCAACAUCAGGGAAGAGGAGGAACCUGGUGUGGGUCUCAAGAGAGAAAAAGAGAUACCCUGACACAGAUGGUCCAGUGGGAUUGACCAUUAGGUCCCUCGUGUUCAGUCAGGAAGCCCAGCCCAGAGGGAAGAUUUGAGACACAGAAUACAACGCUUACAGAUCUCAUGAGGUAUCAGCAAGGACAAAUUCAUGUCAAUCUAACACAAAACUUUUUAUUUGAAUUUUUCCUAUGGAAAACAAAGCGAUUUCAGCAAAAUCAAUAUUUUAUUGUAUAAAUUGGAGCAGACAAGUAAAGUGAGGCUACAGAAUUAGAAGAUGAAGCCAGUUUGAUGGGAACUAUUAUUCACUGGACUUUGUCUACCUUGGGAAGAUAUAUUAUUUUUAAAAUUUAUUCAAAAGGCAAAAUUAACCUUCAUUGGCACUAAAAAUGGAGAAAGGUGACCAAGACUAGUGACCAGUAAGAAAUCUGAGGUAUAGUCACUCCUCAAAAGCCUGACAUAUAAGAUGAUGCUAUUGGAUACAGUUGUUGCCAGCUGCUUUAGGUAAGAACAGUUCUGAGACUUAUAAUGUGUCUGUACACUUGGCUACAAUGAUACUUCUUGAGGAGAAUGGUACUUGUUCAGUGUGAACAGAAAUUCUACAAGCUUGCCCUUAGUUUUUUAAAUAAAAUUUGUAAGAUCCUCAA